rnacentral:rRNA from 1 species
UUUAGUGGAAGCGUCUGGAAAGGCGCGCGAUACAGGGUGACAGCCCCGUACACAAAAGCGCAUGUGCUGUGAGCUCGAUGAGUAGGGCGGGACACGUGGUAUCCUGUCUGAAUAUGGGGGGACCAUCCUCCAAGGCUAAAUACUCCUGACUGACCGAUAGUGAACCAGUACCGUGAGGGAAAGGCGAAAAGAACCCCGGCGAGGGGAGUGAAAAAGAACCUGAAACCGUGUACGUACAAGCAGUGGGAGCCCCACCACUAAGCCAGUGGUGAACUCCACAUACGCAUCCUUUGCUGAGGAUACGGUUAACGGAGCGAAAGCGACGUUCAACCUCAAAAGAAGCAGAGGGGGCUUAGUGGUGGGGUGACUGCGUACCUUUUGUAUAAUGGGUCAGCGACUUAUAUUCUGUAGCAAGGUUAACCGAAUAGGGGAGCCGGAGGGAAACCGAGUCUUAACCGGGCGUUAAGUUGCAGGGUAUAGACCCGAAACCCGGUGAUCUAGCCAUGGGCAGGUUGAAGGUUGGGUAACACUAACUGGAGGACCGAACCGACUAAUGUUGAAAAAUUAGCGGAUGACCUGUGGCUGGGGGUGAAAGGCCAAUCAAACCGGGAGAUAGCUGGUUCUCCCCGAAAGCUAUUUAGGUAGCGCCUCGUGAAUUCAUCUCCGGGGGUAGAGCACUGUUUCGGCUAGGGGGCCAUCCCGGCU